UGACAGAGCGAGAUUCUGUCUUAAAAUAAAAUAAAACAAAAUAAAAUAAAAUUACACUAGGCAAUGGCAACAGUGUAUGGACUUUAAAAUUAUAGAGAUCUGGAUUUUAAUCUCAGCUCUACCAUCUGUAAUCUUGCCAUCUUACACAUGUUAGAUAGCAUGUUAGAUAGUUUUUCUGAGUCUUAAAAUUUUCGUGUGUGUAAUGGAAUUUUAAAAGCAACUUUUUAUGGUAUUUGUAUAGAUUAAAAAGUACACACACAUACAUACACAUAAAUUAGUGUAUAAUGGCUUUAUAAAAACUAUCUGUCUGUCCUCUGAAGUAGCAAAAUUACUCGUGGUAGAAAUCCUCACUUUAUCUGUCCUUCAAACUACCAGAGUCAUCUGUUUGUACUAUGGCUCCUGAUUUGAGUUUGAGGUAAACAUGUCUGGGUAUACUUACUAUAGCAGGGCCAUCAAGAUUCUAGGGGUUGUGACAUGAGGAAAUACUGUUAUGGGCUAUAUUGUAUUCCCUCAAAAUUCUUAUUUUGAUGUACCAACUUCCCCUACCUCAGAAUGUGACUAUUUGGAGAUAAGAUAUUUAGAGAUAAUUAAGGUAAAAUGAGGUCGUUUGGGUAAGAUCUAAUCCAAUAUUACUGGUGUCUUUAUAAGAAGAGGAGAUUUAAGAUACAGACAACUUGACAGAGGGAUGAACACGUGAAGACAGAGAGAAGGUGGUCAUCUGCAAACAAGGAGAGAAGCUUCAGGAAAGUCAAACCUACUGAGAUUUUGACCAUGGAACUUCCAUCCUUCAAAACUGUCUCUCUACGUAUUAUUCAUAUGAUACUUCAAUGAGUAUGGGUACUGAAGGCCUCACAGCCAAACAGCAGAUCUCAUAGGAGAAAAAUUGGUUUUAAAGGCAAUACAGUAACACAGUGCUUAAGAGUGUGGACUCUGGAGCCAAACUGCUGGAUUCAACUUGGUAUGUGAUCUUCGGCAAGUUUCUUUCUCUACCUGUACUUCAGUUUUCCACAUCUGUAGGAUUUGGAAGGAUCUUAUAAUACUUGUAGAAUUGCUGUGAUAAUUGAAUGAGAUGGCAUAUGAAAUGAUCUUUGCAUAAUCUCUGGCUACAUAUGUCUAUGCUCUUAUGACAAUUAAUAACUCAUUCCUCUCUCUUCUUUUUUUUGCUCCUCCAGUGUUUUCCUUUCAUUUGCAACUGCUCCUGCUUGACAGAUUUUACUUAAUACCUUCUUUAUAUAUUUUUAGCUUUUUCCCUACCCCAUAUCCUGUCCUACUACCAGUAUGUCUUUAUUUAUCCAUCCCUUUAAAAUGAUUGAUCUUGAUUUAAUCACUAUCAUCCAUGUUUGGGAAAUGGUGGGUGGGGGGCAGACCUUGUUUCUCCAGUUUACUUCUGGUCUUUUGUAACUAAGAAGGCUAAGAUAUAUGGCUUCCCAUUAUAAACGUUACUGCAGAUUACCAAUAGGCUUCUCUCCAACGUGCCCACUACUCAGGAGUGACACACAUUAUCAGAAAUCUAAACAAAGAUUUUAAGUACUGAUUUUUUUACUCCUAUUACUUGAAAAAGACUAUGGCUAUGUUGGAGAUACCCCUUAAAGAAAGAAAUGUCAGAAAACUAAGAAAUAAAAGUGAAUAAAUAGGAAAUGAGAUUGAAAUAAAACAAAAUGUGAAAGCUGAUUUUUCCUCGGAAAAAGUAAGUUAUGUUUCCACAGCUGGAGGCUAAAAACAGCUGCAUUAUCUAUAGCCCAUUGAAUGGAGCUCAGUCAUUAAUAUUUUACUCAUGUACACACUUCAUUUUGAUGCAAUUUUCCUGUAUAACUAGCCAGAAUCAUUUGCAGGAUAUUUAACAAAAAUGAUGAAAAUACUCAGCUGCAUCUGUUCAUCAUUUGGCUAACCACAUUUUUGCAUAAAUUUAACAUGAGCUUAAGCCAUCACCAUUAUUUUUCUCAUCCUUUCUCUUCACCGUUGAAAUCUGAAUGCCAAAAUUUAUUAUUAUUCAGGUACGCAAUCACAGUACCAUCCUAGCAAUCAAGUCAAAAGCAGCAAAGCAAAAUUGAAAAAAUGUUUUCUAAAACUGCUGUCACGUACAAUACUUCCCUAAGACAACAACCAGUGGCUGUUGCAAUGACAAACAGCUUUAAUAAUGAAAAUAGACUCUCAGUUUUACCUACACAGAUGCAGUUUAAUUUUCUUCUUCCUUAUUAGAAUCCUCACUACCUCUCCUCCUCCACUCUGCCCCCAGUUGUAAGAAUGAGCUGGCAAACACAACAGUUCUAUUCAUUCUCAGUUUAAUACACAAUUUCUCAUAUACACAAAAGGGUGAAAUGGUUUCUAAAAACAUUGGCUGGUAAUGAUGACAGUAGAAUCUAAUUCCCUCAGGUGCUCACUUAAUACUUAUCUCUCUGCUGGAGAGUGUAAUAAGGUCGUCAGGAUUAUUGAAGUUGACAGGGCACCAGGCUCAGAUUAAUUACUUCAUAGAAUUCAGAAGGAAUUAGAAAAAGCAACAAUACUGCCUCUGGCAAAUGCAUAUAUUUUUUAUAGUUCUCUAAGGACUUUCAGUGUAAUAUAAUACAAAAGAGAGAAGAAUAGCUAAUGCAAUUGAUUUGUAGGUUUUGCUAUACAAAUUCUGAAAGAUUAUUCUGAGAACAAGAAAUCACCAUCCAUCAUAAUUUUAAAGAAAAACACUCAGAGUGGAAUACCUUAAAUACGUGAUGAAUAAUUGAAGGGUAAGUAAAAGGUACUAACGUGUGAAUCUUUCUCCUACCGUGUUCCAGAAAAUUUAUCUUCAUUGCAUCAUUUAAUUCUCGCAAACAUGCAAAAUAGAUGCUAUCCUUUAAAAAAAUGGACAGGUUGAAACAUGUUAAGGAUUUUUCCCAAAAUUUAGUAUCUAGUGAAUAGUUAGCAGCCUUUAAAUUUAUCUCCCAAAUCCCAAACUCUUUCCUCAAACAUAGGGAACACCAAUGAAUUGUUCUUGAAAACUGUCCUUGUUAGAUAGUGAAACACUCACAUGAAAAUCACAAGGAAAACACAUAUGAUUAAAGAAUAUGAGAACAAAAUUGGACAAUUAGAGGUUAACUAAAUUUAAAUGGACAAAGAGAAGGGACAUGAGGCCAAAGUUACUUCCCUGAAAUUCCUUGACACUUCCUGCUUAGGUGAAUAAUUCCAGGAACAACCCUAGCCACAUACUGAUAAUGACUAUUUGAAGACACACUGUAGCCUUUAGUCAAUCAUCUAUUAGCUUAUCACUGUUAACAAAUGGUAUUUGUAUGUGAACAGGCUGAUACUCCCUUGCUGUGUCUCCUCAUUUUGUCUUUAAAAAUCUGCUUAUAACUGCCCCAACUCACAGCAUUUCUAAAGAAACUUGGAAGUAUUUGUUGGGUUACUGCUCUGAAUUUUGGCCCAAAUAAACUCUCUACUUAAAUCAAUUUUGCCUCAGUUUCUUUCUUUAGGUUGACAUAUCCAUCUAUAUUGAGCACCUUCCUUAAAUAAUGCUAGAGACUUUAUAUAUAUUUAUUUCAUUAAAACAUAAGAAAUUUUAAGAGUUUGAUGAGUCACUUAUCAGCUUGGGGAGAUGUGACAAGUAAAUCUAAAAAGUGAAAAGAAAUGAUACAGCACAACCUACACCAUUACACUUACCAAAAACCAGAAACACAUCACUACUGCAGAUUUGAAAACGUAGAAUACACCUGGGUAUGGAAUAAACAAAAUGAAAAAGGCUUCUGGGUAACUAAAAUAGAUAUUAAAAAACAAUUGCUCCUCGGUUCAUGCAAUAUACUUGUAAAUGGUACUAUUUCUAUUGUCUGUAAUGAGGACUCACUGAGGCCACAAAGCUCAGGACAAAGGGUAAAAAGUACACAUCUGCAUUCCAAAGAAAGGUGCUUACACAUUCCAGAGGACUUAGUAAGAGGUGGUCAAUCAAUACCCAUUCUCAGUCUCCUUGUCUUACUAGAGACGAAGUUUCACCAUGCUGGCCGGGCUGGUCUUGAACUCCUGACCUCAAAUGGUCCACCUGCCUCGGCCUCCCAAAGUGCUGGGAUUAGAGGUGUGAGCCACUGCUCCCGGUCAACUUUGUAACCUUUUAAACAACUUUUUGACUCUUGUAAUAACAGCUUAAAA